AACGCUGGCGGCGUGCCUAAUACAUGCAAGUCGAACGGUCUUUCUAUGGAAGCUUGCUUCCACUGAGAAGAUAGUGGCGAACGGGUGAGUAACACGUGGGUAACCUGCCCAUAAGAGGGGGAUAACAUCCGGAAACGGGUGCUAAUACCGCAUAGUUUUCUUGAUUGCAUGAUUGAGAAAGGAAAGACGGCCUUUGUGCUGUCGCUUAUGGAUGGACCCGCGGCGUAUUAGUUAGUUGGUGAGGUAACGGCUCACCAAGACGAUGAUACGUAGCCGACCUGAGAGGGUGAUCGGCCACAUUGGGACUGAGACACGGCCCAAACUCCUACGGGAGGCAGCAGUAGGGAAUCUUCCGCAAUGGACGAAAGUCUGACGGAGCAACGCCGCGUGAGUGAAGAAGGUUUUUCCGGAUCGUAAAACUCUGUUGUCAGAGAAGAACAAGUUGGAGAGUAACUGCUCCAGCCUUGACGGUAUCUGACCAGAAAGCCACGGCUAACUACGUGCCAGCAGCUGC
rnacentral:rRNA from 1 species